GACGAACGCUGGCGGCGUGCUUAACACAUGCAAGUCGAACGGGAACCUUUAUUUCGGUAAAGGUGAGAGUGGCAAACGGGUGAGUAACACGUAGGCAACCUGCCGACAGGAUGGGGACAACAUUCCGAAAGGAAUGCUAAUACCGAAUGGAGUCCGAGGAUGGCAUCAUCCUUGGAUCAAAGAUGGCCUCUUAACAAUGCUAUCGCCUGUCGAUGGGCCUGCGUCUGAUUAGCCAGUUGGCGGGGUAACGGCCCACCAAAGCGACGAUCAGUAGCCGGUCUGAGAGGAUGAACGGCCACAUUGGGACUGAGACACGGCCCAGACUCCUACGGGAGGCAGCAGUGGGGAAUCUUCCACAAUGGGCGAAAGCCUGAUGGAGCAACGCCGCGUGAGUGAAGAAGGUCUUCGGAUCGUAAAGCUCUGUUGCACGGGACGAAAACUGGGUUUGAGAACAUUGAACCUGGGUGACG
rnacentral:rRNA from 1 species